UUAUACGGCGAAACUGCGAAUGGCUCAUUAAAUCAGUUAUCGUUUACUUGAUAGCCCCUUACUACUUGGAUAACCGUGGUAAUUCUAGAGCUAAUACAUGCUGAAAACCCCGACUUCGGAAGGGAUGUAUUUAUUAGAUUAAAAACCAAUGCCCCUCGGGGCUCACUGGUGAUUCAUGAUAACUUCUCGAAUCGCACGGCCUUGCGCCGGCGAUGGCUCAUUCAAAUUUCUGCCCUAUCAACUUUCGACGGCUGGAUCUGGGCCCGCCAUGGUGACAACGGGUAACGGAGGGUUAGGGCUCGGCCCCGGAGAAGGAGCCUGAGAAACGGCUACUACAUCCAAGGAAGGCAGCAGGCGCGCAAAUUACCCAAUCCCGACUCGGGGAGGUAGUGACAAUAAAUACUGAUACAGGGCUCUUUUGGGUCUUGUAAUUGGAAUGAGUACAAUUUAAUUCCCUUAACGAGGAACAAUUGGAGGGCAAGUCUGGUGCCAGCAGCCGCGGUAAUUCCAGCUCCAAUAGCGUAUAUUAAAGUUGUUGCAGUUAAAAAGCUCGUAGUUGAACCUUGGGCCUGGCUGGCCGGUCCGCCUCACCGCGUGCACUGGUCCGGCCGGGUCUUUCCCUCUGGGGAGCCGCAUGCCCUUCACUGGGCGUGUCGGGGAACCAGGACAUUUACUUUGAAAAAAUUAGAGUGUUCAAAGCAGGCUUAUGCUCGAAUACAUUAGCAUGGAAUAAUAGAAUAGGACGCGCGGUUCUAUUUUGUUGGUUUCUAGGACCGCCGUAAUGAUUAAUAGGGACAGUCGGGGGCAUCAGUAUUCAAUAGUCAGAGGUGAAA
rnacentral:rRNA from 1 species